UGAGCAAUCUGCCCUUCUCAUCGGAAUAAGCGUUGGAAACGACGUCUAAUGCCGAAUACGACCUCCUUUCGCAUGAUCGGAGGUGGAAAGCUCCGGCGGAGAAGGAUGAGCUCGCGGCCUAUCAGCUAGUUGGUGGGGUAACGGCUCACCUAGGCAACGACGGGUAGCUGGU
rnacentral:rRNA from 1 species